CCCUCCAUGUGCACUGCAUAAAAAAUGGGGACCCUGCAAAAAGUUGAGAUUGCGAAUUGAGCAACAUGCACCUAUAGGCUUUAAAUCUAGAACCUUACACUGGGAAAGAUUUUUAGAACUUAAGCCACUACGUGGAUACCAUGGAAAUUUCCAACUUCGGGCCCAUCACAAAAGUGAAUGAUGCAAGUAUUCAAGGGAUCGGAACCCGUGUAUGGGGG
rnacentral:lncRNA from 1 species